AGAGCGUUAAGUUCGUCGCAUGACGACCCGAAACCAGGUGAUCUAUCCAUGAGCAGGAUGAAGGUAGGGUAACACCUACUGGAGGUCCGAACCGGUGUCUGUUGAAAAAGACUCGGAUGACUUGUGGAUAGGGGUGAAAGGCCAAUCAAACCUGGACAUAGCUGGUUCUCCGCGAAAUCUAUUUAGGUAGAGCGUCGGAUGUAUUCCUUGGGGGGUAGAGCACUGGAUGGAUGCGGGCGGCGCGAGCUGUACCAAUUCUAACCAAACUCCGAAUACCCAAGAGAACUGUCCGGCAGACACACGGCGGGUGCUAACGUCCGUCGUGAAAAGGGAAACAACCCUAACCAUCAUCUAAGGCCCCCAAGUUAUGGCUAAGUGGGAAACGAUGUGGGAUUGCAUUGACAAUCAGGAGGUUGGCUUAGAAGCAGCCAUCCUUUAAAGAAAGCGUAACAGCUCACUGAUCAAGCGAUCCUGCGCGGAAAAUGUAACGGGGCUCAAGCCAUACGCCGAAGAUAUGGGUUCACGUAAGUGAGCGGUAGCGGAGCGUUCCGUAAGCCUGAGAAGGUCAAUCGUGAGGUUGGCUGGAGGUAUCGGAAGUGAGAAUGCUGACAUGAGUAGCGAUAAAGAGUGUGAGAGACACUCUCGCCGAAAGACCAAGGGUUCCUGCGUAAAGCUAAUCUGCGCAGGGUUAGCCAGCCCCUAAGGCGAGGCCGAAAGGCGUAGUCGAUGGGAAUCCGGUGAAUAUUCCGGAGCCAGUAUGAAGUGACGGAUGGUGUAAGUUGUACGUGCUUAUUGGAUUGUACGUGCAGCGAAGCUGUCCCUGGAAAUAACUCAUACAUAGACUGUACCCGAAACCGACACAGGUGGUCAGGUAGAGCAUACCAAGGCGCUUGAGAGAACUAUGCUGAAGGAACUCGGCAAAUUACACGCGUAACUUCGGGAUAAGCGUGACUCACCUUGCGCAAGCAGGACUGAGUGGCACAAGCCAGGGGGUAGCGACUGUUUAUCAAAAACACAGGGCUCUGCGAAGCUGUAAAGCGACGUAUAGGGUCUGACGCCUGCCCGGUGCCGGAAGGUUAAAAGGAGGGGUGCAAGCUCCGAAUUGAAGCCCCGGUAAACGGCGGCCGUAACUAUAACGGUCCUAAGGUAGCGAAAUUCCUUGUCGGGUAAGUUCCGACCUGCACGAAUGGCGUAACGACUUCCCCACUGUCUCCAGCAUAGGCUCAGCGAAAUUGAAUUCCCCGUGAAGAUGCGGGGUUCCCGCGGUCAGACGGAAAGACCCUAUGAACCUUUACUAUAGCUUCGCCUUGGCGUUAGCAGCAACAUGUGUAGGAUAGGUGGGAGGCUAUGAAGCAGGGGCGCCAGUCUCUGUGGAGCCAUCCUUGAAAUACCACCCUUAUUGCUGUUGGCGUCUAACCGCGGCCCGUCUAUCCGGGUCCGGGACAUGGCGUGGUGGGUAGUUUGACUGGGGCGGUCGCCUCCCAAAGUGUAACGGAGGCGCGCGAUGGUGGGCUCAGAACGGUCGGAAAUCGUUCGCUGAGUGCAAUGGCAUAAGCCCGCCUGACUGCGAGACUGACAAGUCGAGCAGAGACGAAAGUCGGCCAUAGUGAUCCGGUGGUCCUGCGUGGAAGGGCCAUCGCUCAACGGAUAAAAGGUACUCUAGGGAUAACAGGCUGAUUUUGCCCAAGAGUCCAUAUCGACGGCAAAGUUUGGCACCUCGAUGUCGGCUCAUCACAUCCUGGGGCUGGAGCAGGUCCCAAGGGUAUGGCUGUUCGCCAUUUAAAGUGGUACGUGAGCUGGGUUCAGAACGUCGUGAGACAGUUUGGUCCCUAUCUGCCGUGGGUGUUCGAGACUUGAGAGGAUCUGUCCCUAGUACGAGAGGACCGGGAUGGACAUACCUCUGGUGGACCUGUCGUGGCGCCAGCCGCGCAGCAGGGUAGCUAAGUAUGGAAUAGAUAACCGCUGAAAGCAUCUAAGCGGGAAACUAACCUCAAAACAAGGUCUCGCUGAGGAUCGUGGUAGACGACCACGUUGAUAGGCUGGGUGUGGAAGCUCCGUGAGGAGUGAAGCUAACCAGUACUAAUAAUCCGAUCGGCUUGAUCGU
rnacentral:rRNA from 1 species